rnacentral:rRNA from 1 species
GAGGUUAGCCCUCGCGGCGAACAGCUCAGUAACACGUGGCCAAGCUACCCUGCAGAGGGGGACAGCGUCGGGAAACUGACGGGAAUCCCCCAUACCGGUCUCACGCUGGAAUGCCGAGACCGACAAAGGCUCCGGCGCUGCAGGAUGCGGCUGCGGCCGAUAAGGUAGUCGGUGGGGUAACGGCCCACCGAGCCGAUAAUUGGUACGGGGUGUGAGAGCACGAGCCGGAGACGGAAUCUGAGACAAGAUUCCGGGCCCUACGGGGCGCAGCAGGCGCGAAACCUUUACACUGCACGAAGGUGCGAUAAGGGGACUCCGAGUGCGAGGGCAUACAGUCCUCGCUAUUGUGUACCGUAGGGUGGUACACGACCAAGAGCUGGGCAAGACCGGUGCCAGCAGCCGCGGUAAUACCGGCAGCUCGAGUGAUGGCCGAUUUUAUUGGGCCUAAAGCGUCCGUAGCUGGCCCUGCUAGUUCGUCGGGAAAUCCACUCGCCUAACGAGUGGGCGUCCGGCGGAAACUACAGGGCUUGGGACCGGAAGACUUGAGGGGUACGUCUGGGGUAGGAGUGAAAUCCUGUAAUCCUGGACGGACCGCCGAUGGCGAAAGCACCUCAAGACGACGGAUCCGGCAGUGAGGGACGAAAGCUAGGGUCUCGAACUGGAUUAGAUACCCGGGUAGUCCUAGCCGUAAAGGAUGUUCGCUAGAUGUGGCACAGGCUACGUGCCUGUGCUGUGUCGUAGGGAAGCCGAGAAGCGAACCGCCUGGGAAGUACGUCCGCAAGGAUGAAACUUAAAGGAAUUGGCGGGGGAGCACUACAACGGGAGGAGCCUGCGGUUUAAUUGGAUUCAACGCCGGG